rnacentral:tRNA from 1 species
GGGUGGGUGGCUCAGUGGUAGAGCACAUGCUUAGUAAACACAAUGCCCUGAGUUUAAUCCCCAGCAAACCCC